CUGCAAGUCGUACGCUUCUUUUUCCACCGGAGCUUGCUCCACCGGAAAAAGAAGAGUGGCGAACGGGUGAGUAACACGUGGGUAACCUGCCCAUCAGAAGGGGAUAACACUUGGAAACAGGUGCUAAUACCGUAUAACAAUCGAAACCGCAUGGUUUUGAUUUGAAAGGCGCUUUCGGGUGUCGCUGAUGGAUGGACCCGCGGUGCAUUAGCUAGUUGGUGAGGUAACGGCUCACCAAGGCCACNAUGCAUAGCCGACCUGAGAGGGUGAUCGGCCACAUUGGGACUGAGACACGGCCCAAACUCCUACGGGAGGCAGCAGUAGGGAAUCUUCGGCAAUGGACGAAAGUCUGACCGAGCAACGCCGCGUGAGUGAAGAAGGUUUUCGGAUCGUAAAACUCUGUUGUUAGAGAAGAACAAGGAUGAGAGUAACUGUUCAUCCCUUGACGGUAUCUAACCAGAAAGCCACGG
rnacentral:rRNA from 1 species